GCACUACACUGGAGUGCAGCAUCGGGAAACAUGAAAAUUAAAAGCAAAGAAAAUAAAUAUAAGGAAAUUUUUUAUUUAAUUAAUAUUCAUUUUCAUAAUUACAAAGAAAACAAACUUUGAGACAUUCUACGCGUUUAGUUAUGCAUCCUCGGGUAUGAUCAUCUUAGUCCCUAGUAUUUGCUUUUACUGGGUGUCGAGCCUAUGAGCAUGAUCCUGACCCAUUUGUUCAUUGUUAUGCCAAGAUCCUACCUUGUUAAAACUUGGUUGGCUAAAAGACCAAAUCAGGAUAAAAGGCAAAGGAAAAAAGAGUGUAGGGCAUGGCUGGGUCAUCUCUCCUAGUAGUAGUGCCCAUUAAAGAUGGGCUACAUCCUAAAUGUUAUGCUGACAUAUGCGUUGGAGAUCGCCCAGCUGGUAUGCUUAUUUCCCAUAUAUGUCAACUACUAAAUAUAGCCCUUUCUACUCUCUUCAUUUGAGUUCCAUGUACUUAUAGUGACUUCCCUUAGUGUCAAAAUCUUCGACAUUGAAGUGGUUGAGUUUUGUCUUCCGAUUAUAAUAUCUCUCCAUCUUAUACUUUUGAUUCAUCAUGCGUACAAGGGAAACCUCACGCAGUUCUACCAACAGGCCAUUUGAGGUGGGGAACUUGAUCACUCUAUGAUAUGCCGAUGGGAUGGCCUUCUUAGUAUGGAUGUAUAACCUCUCUUAGAUGAUAUUGUAACCUAUAUCUUCGUCAAGGAUGUCAAACAAAAUGGGCUUCUCCACAUCACCGUCCCAGAUCACUAGUGUCACCUCCCUCUUGUCACCUCACUGGCCAUGUUAAACUUGACUAGGGCCUUAGUCACAGGCAACACAGCAUAGCUAGAAUCCAUUUGGUUGAAGACUCCCUUAUGCAUGAUGUUAGCCGAACUCCUUGGGUCAACCAACACUUUUUUCACAUCGCAUCCAUCUAUAUUCAUAGGAUAUUAUCAUAGAUUCAUUAUGGGCCUUACAUGGCUCAACUAGGACGUCAUCCCAAAAGGCUAUUUCAAUGUCGAGUUCCUAAUGCGACUUUUUACAAUAACUAGAAGAUGGUUUAUUUUUCUUAGAGAAUGAGACCUUACCUUCCAUUGGCUGGUGAUGGGCUUCUAUCCCGCAAUCAGAGUUUUUUUGUCUCCUGUGUAUGCCUGAGUUCACCAGAGUUGGAUUGGUUGACAAAGUUCCUUGCAUCUUAUUAUGAGAAAAAUCUUCCAUAUAGCCUUUGUAGUUGUCACCCUUGACCUAUUUCUUUUCAAAGCAUAACACAAAAAGAAAAUGUAAAAAGAAAAGAAAUUAAAACACACACAGAUGCUCUAGCUCCCACUGUGGGCGCCAAACUGUUUAUCAUCAAUUUAGGACAGUUAGAUUUGUAGGUGGGUCAAGAACACGUGUUAUAAUUUUCUCUUUGAGUUAAUAGUAAGAGAUUGCAAGGCGGUAAAUAAACAAAAUAAAUAAAUCAAACCAUAAGCAAGAUAGAGAUCAAGAAAAUCUGAGGUGACACGUAGUCCUUAGUUUCUUAGAUAUGAGCCAAUUGUGGUCGCGAUUAUGGGGUUAAUAAGUGUGACAACGAGAAACAAGUAACAACAACUAAGGCAAUACAAGUAUCUUAAGAACAAAGCUAAAGAAUUUUAUUACUUGAGGAAUGAGAUGAACCAAGACCUGAUAAUCAUUACAAUGGGGAGGGGUGUCUAUUUAUAGGCUACAAAGGUUUGCUUUGACAAAUAAGAGAAUGCUAUUUGAAGCAUACAGUACAACAACUAAUGGACAAGGUGACUUGUUAGAGGAUGCCAGCCCAGUACUGCAUGUCUAACGCAGUUCGAACGAAAGUCACCAACAUACUUGAGAGCUCAGAAACACUUUCCUUCUAUUUAUCCUUUCGAGCAUGGUCACCACCAUUGUUGGUAUCAUUCUACUCCUCCUGUCCUAAACUUCCUUUUCCUAUCUCAGUUUCAUUUCUGGAACAAUGCCAACACUACCAAAUCCAAGUUGGCUUAAUCUUUACUAAAAUUAUUUUCCCAUACAAACGCAAUCCAUAAUUAUCAAAUUUUUUACCUUUAAUACUUUUAUGGCAAAAUACAAAAUAGAAAAUAAUUAUUCAUAAGACAAAGCCAUUGCAAUAAUGUAACACCCCAUAAAUUUGAGCUACGAUUAGAACCAUGAUUCAAGUUCUUGUAGAACCAAACUUUAUGUUUUUGUAGUAUAGGAAGUGAACUAUAUGUGUAUUUAGGGCACAAGUAACUCCCAGGUCAUUUCCAAGUCAAAACCUCCCUUACCGAUUAAUUUCUUGUGAAAAAUCUUGCUAUAGUCAAACUUCAAACAAACAGAAAUCCUAGAUUCUAAAACAUUUUUGAGCUCCCGACUCACGUAAUUAUAGAUAUUUUAAUUAUACUUUCAAUGCAUCCAGUUUUUCCUUAAUCCAAUAUCACAGUAAAAUGUUAUGGCCAUUUUAUUGAAGUAUUGUCAAGCUGUUAGCGACGGGCCAUCUCAAGGCCUGUAAGGUAGUAGGAUGGCUCAUGGCCACUACUGAGAGAAAUACAAAACAUAUCGCAGAUGAUGACCUAGGACACAACGCAUUGCCAGGCCUCACGUGAGCCAUCAAGAUAGAUUCCAACAACUUUCCACACGAUUUUAAAAGAGUUGUUUGUUCGUUCCACUCUUUUAACAUCAAAACUACAUUAAUUAAGAUAUUCCAAGACUAUCUAUUAAGUUUAAUAUGACCAGAAGCCUCUCACUCACUCAAAAACAUCUGACACAUAGAGAUAGAAUAAGAAAAGAUAUGAUUUGUCUUGUCCAAGGCAUAACUAGGGUUCAUCUUCUUUAAAUUCCAAAUCCAUAGGUUUCACCAAGGUUUCUACUCUCAGGUAUGUGGGAUUUCAUCAGUUGGUAUCCUUUCACCCAUUGAGUCCCAAAAUAUAUUCAGUUCUAUAGUUAAUUAAUGAUCUUGAAAUUAGGGUUUUCAUUACGGCCAUGAUUCUUCUUGUACUUCAGUUUCGCAUAAGUAGCAAACAAUAAAUACAUGUUUCUCCAUAAAAUUUAGUACGUUGAUAGUAUCAUGUCCAUGAACCCUAAGUAUAAUGAUGUUCCAUAAUUUUUUAUCUUGAAUUAUGUAAUUUCAUAUUUUAUUCAUAUCAUAGAAGUUGUCAUUAAUAGUUAUAUUCCUCGGAGAUGGAGGGUUAUGAACACCCAAUGACCUAGGAUCCCAUACAUUGUUAAUUAAGCACUCGUUCCUUCGUGUUUACAUGUUUAGGAUACUUUUAGAUAGAGGGUUUGUUACUGAGUCUUAAUUUAUCUAUACUUCUAGUGUUGCUAACCAGUAGAGUGCUUUUAGAUAAAGUAUAUUUCUAAAUGGUGUUCUCGGUUAAAUUCAUCCUAUUAGAUUACUAAUAAUUUCAUAAGUCAAGAUUUUAGUUUCAAGUUCAGCCUUAUAGAUUCAUUUCAAACCUCAGUCCUUAUAUGUUUCUUUCAUGCAUUUACUCCAGCCAUCUUAGAACCCUCACAAACUUAUAAGUCACAGUGUUUGAAAAUACAUGGCAUAUACAUAUAUAUAUAUAUAUAUAUAUAUAUAUAUCAUAUAAUGACCAAGAGCUUCGGCUCAAGAUACAUGAUAUGCAUAAGAUCGAGAUAUACCAUUAAUGCUCUUGGACACUUUUUCCUAAAAGUAUGUUUUUGAUUAGUAUGAUAUCAGAAAUUCUAUCAAUACUCGCAGAUCGAUUUUCUUAUAAAAGAAAAGUUAACUAGUAGUAUGGCAGUCAAGUAUGGCGUCCAUGAUUAUGGAUAGGUUUACAUCCAUAUGUCAUCUCAAGUUGAUAUCCAGAUAUGUCAUCUUGUCGAGCUAUCAAUUAUGUUCAAUUGGGAGUAAUAGUUAACACCAAGUGGACUAGGAGAUAAAGGCUCACCUGCCUGCUAGAUUGUUACCUUUAGCAGCAGUCUCUAAGUCACAGAACUACAUGCCAUCAUAGGUUUAUAUAUACCACAUCAGAUCAUUUCAUUCUUUAUACCCUAGCAAGGUACAUUGGGCCCUCUUCAAUGGGAAUUAUACAUCGAACUCCAUGAUUAGCUCACAUGAUAACAUGUCGAUUAGUAAUGUCUCCCACAGUCUAUGACUUUGGAUUAAGCAUGUCCCUCAACUUAAUCUAGUUCACAGUAGCUCAAUUGUAAUUGAAAUAUCUAUGCAUUCAAUUUUUAUGAUUAUCCAGAUAGAUCCUACAUCAUAUUGUACCCUAGUAUUACUUUUAAUUUAAAUAUGUCAUCAUCAAUAAACCAGUUUGAUCCUACAUCAUAUUGUACCCUAGUAUUACUUUUAAUUUAAAUAUGUCAUCAUCAAUAAACCAGUUUGUAUAUUCCUUUAGUGCUUUAGAAUAUCCUUGUAUUCAGUUACUCAAUAUUUUAUUAUUAUUAUGUUUCAUGUUUACUUUACUUGGUCGUUGCAGCAAUUUGCGUUCCUCAAUCCAUGAUCAGUUCAUUUUUUUCCUGUUCAGCAUAUAUAGUAUAGUGUAUCUCACAUGCUUAGUACAUUUAAUGUACUGAUCACAUACUUUUCUUUGUGCUAUAUUGUCUUAUAAUAUAGGUUUUGGUGUUCAGUCUUCGAAUUAUGCAUAGUACAAUCUCCUACUACAUUGGUAGUGGUACUUUGUUGAAUCCUCAUCAUUUGAGGACUAAUUAUCAAUAUUUUUCAUUUAUGCCCCUUUCAGUUUUGAGAUAGUUAGUGUUAGCUAGGGGCUUGUACCAGGAACUCGUCUUAGUAGAGGCUUUCAGAUAUAUGGUUAGAUAUUCAUAUAAGAGGUUAUGAUGGUUUUUAUUAUUAUUUCAUCAUUUAUUCAACUUUUGCACAUUGUUUUUAUUAGUUAUUUUAGUAUUUUUAGUCAGGCCAUGUGUUAGCUUGGGGUCACUUGUUACUCAAAGCACCAUGUUAUG